UACAGAGGGGGCAAGCGUUGUUCGGAAUUACUGGGCGUAAAGCGUGCGUAGACGGUUAUUUAAGUCGGGUGUGAAAGCCCCGGGCUCAACCUGGGAAUUGCAGUCGAUACUACUUAGCUAGAGUAUGGGAGAGGGCAGUGGAAUUCCCGGUGUAGCGGUGAAAUGCGUAGAUAUCGGGAGGAACAUCAGUGGCGAAGGCGGCUGCCUGGCCCAAUACUGACACUCAGGUGCGACAGCGUGGGGAGCAAACAGG
rnacentral:rRNA from 1 species